AUUGAACGCUGGCGGCAUGCUUUACACAUGCAAGUCGAACGGUAACAGGCCUUCGGGUGCUGACGAGUGGCGAACGGGUGAGUAAUGCAUCGGAACGUGCCCAGAGGUGGGGGAUAACGCAGCGAAAGCUGUGCUAAUACCGCAUGUGAUCUGAGGAUGAAAGCGGGGGACCAGGCAUCAAUGUUUGGCCUCGCGCCUUUGGAGCGGCCGAUGUCAGAUUAGGUAGUUGGUGGGGUAAAGGCCUACCAAGCCGACGAUCUGUAGCUGGUCUGAGAGGACGACCAGCCACACUGGGACUGAGACACGGCCCAGACUCCUACGGGAGGCAGCAGUGGGGAAUUUUGGACAAAGGGCGCAAGCCUGAUCCAGCAAUGCCGCGUGCGGGAAGAAGGCCUUCGGGUUGUAAACCGCUUUUGUACGGAACGAAAAGGCUCUGGCUAAUACCUGGGGCUGAUGACGGUACCGUAAGAAUAAGCACCGGCUAACUACGUG
rnacentral:rRNA from 1 species